rnacentral:rRNA from 1 species
GACGAACGCUGGCGGCGUGCUUAACACAUGCAAGUCGAGCGGUAAGGCCCUUUCGGGGGUACACGAGCGGCGAACGGGUGAGUAACACGUGGGUGACCUGCCCUUAGCUCUGGGAUAAGCCUGGGAAACUGGGUCUAAUACCGGAUAUGACCCCAUAACGCAUGUUGUGGGGUGGAAAGCCUUGUGCGGCUAGGGAUGGGCCCGCGGCCUAUCAGCUUGUUGGUGGGGUGAUGGCCUACCAAGGCGACGACGGGUAGCCGGCCUGAGAGGGCGACCGGCCACACUGGGACUGAGACACGGCCCAGACUCCUACGGGAGGCAGCAGUGGGGAAUCUUGCGCAAUGGGCGAAAGCCUGACGCAGCGACGCCGCGUGGGGA